ensembl:lncRNA
GCCCGACUCUGCAACCCCGUGGACUGCAGCACGGCUGAAGGACAGGCUUCCCUGUCCUUCACUAUCUCCUCCUGAAGUCUGCUGAAACUCAUGUCCAUUGAGUCGGUGAUGCCAUCCAAUCACCUCAUCCUCUGUUGACCUCUUCUCCUCCUGCCCUCAAUCUUUCCCAACAUCAGUCUUUUUCAGUGAGUUGGCUCUUAAAAAGAGUUUUAUCCAAAUUUCUCCUCUAAAGAUGCCAAGCUCCUUCUAAAGGGCACAGGCUGUGGUCUGGACAGCUUCACACCAGAGAAACGAUGUCCUGAGAGAUGAUAAAUUCGCUGGCCAACCCACCAAGAGGCUCUCCACUCCUGGUACGAUUCAGUUCAGUCGCUCAGUUGUGUCCAACUCUUUGCGACCCCAUGGACUACAGCAAGCCAGGCUUCCCUGUCCAUCACCAACUCCACAGCUUGGUAAAACUCAUGUCCAUCAAGUCGGUGAUGCCAUCCAACCAUCUCAUCCUCUGUUGUCCCCUUC